UACAGAGGUCUCAAGCGUUGUUCGGAUUCAUUGGGCGUAAAGGGUGCGUAGGCGGCGCGGUAAGUCGGGUGUGAAAUCUCGGAGCUUAACUCCGAAACUGCAUUCGAUACUGCCGUGCUUGAGGACUGGAGAGGAGACUGGAAUUUACGGUGUAGCGGUGAAAUGCGUAGAUAUCGUAAGGAAGACCAGUGACGAAGGCGGGUCUCUGGACAGUUCCUGACGCUGAGGCACGAAGGUCAGGGGAGCAAACGGG
rnacentral:rRNA from 1 species